UGCCGGGACCUGCGCAAUGGCAUACCGGGAACGGGUCAGGACCUAACGGUAGCAGCCACACCGGAAUUGUCAUGUGUUGCAGUAAUCCCGGCUUUU
rnacentral:SRP_RNA from 2 species